GUCCCUGUAGCGCAAUGGAUAGCGCGUUGGACUUCUAAUCCAAAGGUUGUGGGUUCGAAUCCCACCAGGAGUG
rnacentral:tRNA from 1 species